rnacentral:rRNA from 1 species
CUUGGCGGUAUUUUAGACCAUUUAGGGGAACCUGUCUCGUAAUCGAUAGUCCACGUUACACCUAACCUUUUUUUGCUUUCAGCGUUGUAUAUCGUUGUCCUCAGGAAACUUUUUAGAAAUUAGAAGUUAGCUAAAAAUAGUAAAUUUAAACGUCAAAUCAAGGUGCAGUUAAUAAAAAGGCGAAGAUGGGUUCAAUUAUGUCAAUUAUAAUUCGGAAAAUCAUGAGAAUUAAUGGUUUUAAGGAGGACUUAAAAGUAA